CCUACGGGAGGCAGCAGUGGGGAAUAUUGCACAAUGGGCGCAAGCCUGAUGCAGCGACGCCGCGUGAGCGAUGAAGGCCUUCGGGUCGUAAAGCUCUGUCCUAAGGGAAGAAUAAUGACGGUACCUUAGGAGGAAGCCCCGGCUAACUACGUGCCAGCAGCCGCGGUAAUACGUAGGGGGCGAGCGUCAUCCGGAAUCUCUGGGCGUAAAGGGUGCGUGGGCGGCCCUGUAAGUCUGGCGUUAAAUCCCUCGGCUCAACCGAGUUCAGCAUGUGCAACGGUAGGGCUGUGGUGCAGGAGGGGAGAGCGGGAGUCCUAGUGUAGCGGUGAAAUGCUUAGAUAUGAGGGGGAAGACCAGUGGCGAAGGCGGCUCUGUUGACUGCAACGGACGCUGAGGCAGGAAAGCGUGGGGAGCGAACAGGAGUAGAAACCCUUGUAGUC
rnacentral:rRNA from 1 species